ACAACGCUGGCGGCAGGCUACACCUGCGGUUAAGCGCGCCUUCGGGCGAGCCCCGGACGGUUUAGUAACGCGUGGGAACGUGCCCAGAUCUACGGAAUAGCCACUGGAAACGGUGAGUAAUACCGUAUACGCCCUUAGGGGGAAAGAUUUAUCGGAUUUGGAUCGGCCCGCGUUAGAUUAGGUAGUUGGUGGGGUAACGGCCUACCAAGCCUACGAUCUAUAGCUGGUUUUAGAGGAUGAUCAGCAACACUGGGACUGAGACACGGCCCAGACUCCUACGGGAGGCAGCAGUGGGGAAUCUUGGACAAUGGGGGCAACCCUGAUCCAGCCAUGCCGCGUGAGUGAAGAAGGCCCUAGGGUCGUAAAACUCUUUCGCCUGUGAUGAUAAUGACAGUAGCAGGUAAAAGAAACCCCGGCUAACUCCGUGCCAGCAGCCGCGGUAAUACGGAGGGGGUUAGCGUUGUUCGGAAUUACUGGGCGUAAAGCGCAACGUAGUGCGGAUUAGACAACGUUAGAGGUGAAAUCCCGGGGCUCAACCCCGGAACUGCCUUUAAAAACUACUAGUCUAGAGUUCGAGAGAGGUGAGUGGAAUUCCGAGUGUAGAGGUGAACUUCGUAGAUAUUCGGAGGAACACAGAUGGCGAAGGCAGGCUCAACUGGCUCGAUACUG
rnacentral:rRNA from 1 species